GCCGUCGUAGCCUAAUGGUCAUGGCGUCGCUUUCCUAAGUUGCCUAGUUUCCAUUAGGCUACAGGAAUCAGGCGGAGGUUGCGGGUUCGAGUCCCGCCGAUGGUU
rnacentral:tRNA from 2 species